CCAGGACUUUCUGCAGGGCCUCAGCAGGACUGAGCAGCAAGCUCUGGGCAAGGGUGGAGACCCUGAAACAGAUCCCAAAGCCACUGCCAGAGCAGACACUGGGCAGAGCCAGGAACCAUGGGACAGCCACACUGCAGCUUCUCAAAGGCAGUGCCAGCAGCCUCCUCCAGGCCGCAGUCCCAGCGCCACUGCCCUGGGCUUUCAGCUGGAGCUUGACCAAGCCAUCGCAGCCCUGGCAUCGGCACUUUCUCAGGCACAGGGACGGUCAGCCAGAGCCAGCAGAAAGGCCUCCGGUCAGCUUGGUGAACAGCCUCCCUCCGGCUGCCAGCGGGAUGUGCUCCUGAUGGCCCAGCCUGCACCCUCCGAUGAGGAGCACCAAAGCACAAGACCCCAGCAGAACCCUGGACCCCCAGACCUCCCCCAGGGUGAUGCUAAAGGAAGAGAUGCCGAGAGCCCAGGACCUGGGGAGUGGAUCUUUGAGACUGGACACGGGCAUGGAGCCACUCCUGAGCUGCAGGUAGGUGCAUGGCUCUGGGACAAGGCCCUCUUCACCUCAGGAGCUCUUGAGGCAGCCUCAUUCCCUGGACAUGCUGCCCCCUCCAUCAACCUUAAUAAUGAGUAUAAUUAAGUAUAAAGUUUGAGUACAAAGAUUGAGGAUGACCUCUCAGGAAACACAGUCUCCAAACAAAUGGCGUCAGCAUUUCAAAGUGGAAAAGUAAAGGUUUACUUACAUAGGCACUGACAGAGAGAUUUUAUAGCAGGAUUACAUUUCCGCUCAGCAACAGUGCAUACAUUACAGAGAUUCGCUUAGUUCUAGAUCACUACAUUCCGA
rnacentral:lncRNA from 10 species